AACGCACAUUGCGCCCGCCAGUAUUCUGGCGGGCAUGCCUGUUCGAGCGUCAUUUCAACCCUCAAGCCCCCUUCCGGGUUUGGCGUUGGGGAUCGGCCCCGCUCCGGCGGCCGGCCCCGAAAACUAGUGGCGGUCACGCCGCAGCUUCCUCUGCGUAGUAGCAACACCUCGCACUGGGAUGCGGCGCGGCCACGCCGUUAAUCAGACGAAUCAUUUCUGAAGGUUGACCUCGGAUCAGGUAGGAAUACCCGCUGAACUUAA
rnacentral:misc_RNA from 1 species